UCGUGCUAGAUGGGGAGCUAGCGGUGCCCUGAACCUGAAAUCCGCUAUAGCAGGGUCGAAUUCCUGUUUGAGGCUCUCGCCCGGUAGGACUACCCGGGUUAAGUGGUGUCGAAGGCCGGGUCCUGCGCGGCAGAGUGCUAUGAACCCCGUCAGGUCCGAGAGGAAGCAGCGGUAAAUAGUUUUAUCUGGGUGCCGCAGGUCUGCCUGGUUGGAGCUGGCUGGCCCGGGCAAGCUGUUGGAGAGAGUCGAGGGCAGGUGCACGG
rfam:Chloroflexi bacterium RBG_16_60_22 RBG_16_scaffold_19702, whole genome shotgun sequence.